GAAUCAUCUUACUUCUCAAAACAUUCUUUAGUUGCUACUGUCUGGAAGGAUAACACAAAUCGACUUCUUUCAGAAAAGCCCCUUGGCUCUUCUUAAAAUUUUCUCAAUAUUAGUUCUGUUACCUUUGAGAAAAAAUGAAUUUGGCGGAUUGCAUGCCAAUUGUAAUGCUAACAAGAAUCAGAAGCAGCGAAAAGCAUUGUUUAUAGGCUUAUAUGCUCUUGCAUUCUCAUGCCUAAGAAUAUAUUUCUUCAGUCAUGUCACCACUAUACAUUUCGGAGAAUAAUAUGGAUU
rnacentral:misc_RNA from 1 species